GUAGUCAUAUGCUUGUCUCAAAGAUUAAGCCAUGCAUGUCUAAGUAUAAACAACUUUGUACUGUGAAACUGCGAAUGGCUCAUUAAAUCAGUUAUAGUUUAUUUGAUGGUAUCUUACUACAUGGAUAACUGUGGUAAUUCUAGAGCUAAUACAUGCAAUCAAGCCCCGACUUCCGGAAGGGGUGUAUUUAUUAGAUAAAAAACCAAAGCGGCUCGCCGCUCCCUUGGUGAUUCAUAAUAACUUCUCGAAUCGCAU